rnacentral:rRNA from 1 species
CCAAUAGCGUAUAUUAAAGUUGUUGCAGUUAAAAAGCUCGUAGUUGAACCUUAGGCCCGUGCGGGCGGUCCGUCCUCCGGGCGAGCACUGCUCCGUCGCGGGUCUCACCUUCUGGCGAGCGUGGAUGCCAUUUAUUUGGUGUCCGCGGGAACCAGGACCUUUACCUUGAAAAAAUUAGAGUGCUCAAAGCGGGCUCCGACGCUUGAAUACAUUAGCAUGGAAUAAUGAAAUAGGACGAUGGUUCUAUUUUGUUGGUUUCCGGGACCGUCGUAAUGAUUAAUAGGGAUAGUUGGGGGCAUUCGUAUUCAAUUGUCAGAGGUGAAAUUCUUGGAUUUAUUGAAGACGAACUACUGCGAAAGCAUUUGCCAAGGAUGUUUUCAUUAAUCAAGAACGAAAGUUGGGGGAUCGAAGACGAUCAGAUACCGUCGUAGUCUCAACCAUAAACUAUGCCGACUGGGAAUCGGGCGAUGUUACUUUUCUGACUCGCUCGGCGCCCCGAG